rnacentral:lncRNA from 1 species
UAAUCAAGUGACUGUCAGAGAAACAACAGAUUUCAAGAUAAAAGAAAAGGAACCAGAAGAAAGAAGUGUCCCACUGAAGGAAUCCAAAAUAAUCAACUUUGAAAGUAAAGGAUGUUUGAAAAAUGCUGAAGUGACGUCAAGUACAGAAAUUACUCUUCCCACAGGUGUUUCCACCUUUCUGAUAGAUUGUUUAGAUGAAGAUUCAGCUGCAGAUUAUAGCACUGCUAGCAACAGCCUGAAGACUUAUUCAUCCCCUGAAGCAUUCAGAGAUGACAGCCUGAAGACUUAUUCAUCCCCUGAAGCAUUCAGAGAUGAUGAUUUGGGUGACACUUUUGGGUGACUUUUUUUCAGUUUUAUUUGAUGUAGAAAAUGUGGGGAGACUGUCUACAGUAGAGAGACUAGCAGCCUCCCUUAGUGUGACUCACCGGGUCACAUCUUUGCUAUAAACCUGUCCUUAACAUGAAAUCUGUGUAUCUUUCCUUUAAUCUGGUACUAAUCAGGUCCUUGUGUAAUUUGAAUCCUACUUUAAACAUAAAGUGUUCACUGUUGACACAAGCUGUUUAUUGGGAAUGACCCACAAAUGUGUGUUCAGUCAAAUUCCUUCCAAACUUUUAUGCAGCUGUUUGAGCCAAGACAGUGCUUUAAUUUUGGUUUUUAGUUCCUGUCUUGCAAAUGUGAUUGCUUUCAGUUUGGUCAUAAAUUUAAUAACUCAAUGAAAUUCAGCAUAAGAUGCACUUAUAUUUUUUAUGUCCAGAAAGGGGAAAUUUUUACUCCAUGGACCUUGGCAAGUACAAGAACUCUACUCUCCUGGACUCCAGCAAAGCAGUGACCAUAGAUAAGAUACCACAGAUCUCAAAUCUUUCAGCAAUAUUAGAACCUGUACCAGAGGAUUUUCCAGACCGAUGCAUGCCAAGAAAGAGAUCAUCAAAUUGCUGUUACAGUUCUUCAGCAGGAAGCAUUUCAACUGCACUGGCAGGAAAAAACCUCUGUAAAAUAACAGCUGCAAGAGAGAGAACUCCAGACCUAAAAAGUGGUAUGCACUGUUCUUCACCAUUAGGACCGGAAAGCAAGCACCAUAAACAAACAGCUAAAGGCAAAAGGCGGAAGAAAGGAAAAAGCAGUUUUGAUUCCUUAGAAGACGGUUCAUCAUUGUUUAGGCAGCUUGAUGCUCCAGAAGACACGUCAGUCAGAUCAAAGGGGUUGACAGCAGAAGUUCUGCCAACCAAAUGCACAGAUGCUGUGGAGCAAAUGACUUCCACCAUGCUAAUCAUGGAGGAAAACAAAGUCCUAAAAAAUCCUGGUAAUGCUCAGCCUCUAGAGCUAGAUUUUAGCUUGUCGCCGGUGUAUAAAGCCUCACCUGGGGAAGACCUGUUCCUGAAUACCACAGGUCCAUUUGUAAAUUCAGAAGAAAUUCGUCCUGUGUCUCUGAGCUCAGAAAAAGAAAUUAUUCCUCAAAGUCCAGAAGAAAAGAAUAUUUUAAAGCCUCUGUGUGACAGACAAGAAAUCUGCUCAAUUGUUAGAAUGUCACCAGGCCAGAGGCCUUCCCAGCUCCAGCAAGUUCCAAUUAACUGGAAAGAGUUCUGCCUUCCCAAAGGAGUACCUGAAGAUACUAUUACAAGUACCAAAAAUUGGAUCUACUGUAAACAAAGAUGAGAUUUUUGGCUCUCAGCAGGAGUUCACAGAAGAAAUAACCAUCUUGCUGCUGUGGCAAGGUGGUAAAACAAAACUCCUAACUAGUGAAUAAUGGUUGUAAUUUUUUUUAUGUAUGUUGUUUGAAAUUUAGUAUUACGUGUUUCAGUAAGCUAGUAAAUACUCAAAUACUUUAUAUUAAAUUAUUUUGUACAGCAGCUAGAUCCUGUUCUGGGCAUUAUCCUGUAAGGAUUCCAUAAAGAUGAUUCUUCAGUUUGUUUUGAUUUUUAAAAAGUGUGACUGAAGACCAGCAGACCAAAUUGCUUUAAUAGAAUUACUUUUGUCUCUCUCUCUGCCAAGAUUUCUCGUUUCCUCUAGUAGCAUUAGCAUCUACAGAUGUUAACUCUUUAAGUGUUAAUAUGGGUUAUGAAGGUAGCUGCAUAUUCUGGAAGUGACUAUAAAAGCAUUCAUGUACUCUAAUGGUGACAUACACAUUGACUUCUGGGUCCCCAAAACUCCUUGAAUGCUUAGAUCUACAGAACUUUGAAGGUACAGAACUGUGUGUUCUGCUGUAAUUUGAUUUCUGAACAUGAAUGCAGGUCACCUUCACCCCAUCAUCACUCUGAAUUGGCUCCUAAUGGUCAGCACUGUCACCAUUCUGGGCACAUCCACUGCCCAGCCAUUACCAUUUCAGAGUCCUUCCUGUUUCAUCUCAGGUAUGUUGUAGUACCACAUCUCGUGGUCAUUGUUUCUUCUAGUGGCUUCAGAUAAAGUAAAUGCCUUACAUGAAUGCCCACAAUGGUGGGAAAAAUCCUUUUAUAGCUGAACUGUUUGAAGAGAUGGAUAUUGACAUUCUGGAAUUUCAGGUUACUGCUCACACUGUGUCUGCACAAGUCAAAUUCACAGAGCUUCCUGUUCAGCUUGUGGAUUGUUAAUUCAUAAAUGUUGUUCUUAAUGUGCUGAAUGUCUCAGAAAACAUUGUCAAGAACAUAUUUUUUUCCACUAGAAUUCAUUGCACAUUAAAGUAAUUUGGACUCCUACGGUGUUCUUACUACAAUCGUUUACUCAGAUUUUAUCUGAACAAAAAAAAUUUUUCAAUGUUUCAGAAUGCUGGUAUGGCUUCCAAAAGUCUGAGUUUGUUUCUCAGUGUUAUCACCCUGGAAAAUAAUUUUGUAUUUCCAAAAAGAGCAUGACAAGAAGACAUACAAAAUCCACAACUGUAGUUUGCAUUUGAAAAUACCUGUGAAAGUUCAAACCCUGAUCUUUUCUCCAUUGCUCUGGGGUAGAAGGAAGUGCAAAUAAUUGCUGCUGGAUUAGUUUGUGAACAAGUAUUAUAUAAACAUUCUAAAUGGCUCACAGUAAAAAAUUAUGCCAUUAAGCUAUUUUUCUUUCAAGCAUUAGUAGAAUGAGUUCUGCCAAUAACUCCUUGGAGUCCUGUCAGGUAUGCUUUUAAUUAUCAAUAUCCUUGUUCUUGCAAGUCUACUAAAGUCACUAGUAAUUAUGCGAGAAUCUAGAGCCCCUAGGAGACAGAGGUGAGCUCCUUGAUGUAGCUUUAAGCAAAAUUGAAGGUUACAUAUUUAGUAAGUUGUGCUUAUGAUGAUUAUUCAAGUAAAAGAUGGACCAGAAUAAAGAUAUGUUUAUUGUAAGGGUAUUCUGGAAG